GUGAAGACGAUAUUGAAUGGGUUAGACAUGGAGUACCAGGAAUAGAGAUCGACCCACAAACUUUGGAAUGUAUCAUAGCUCUUGAGCAAAUUUUAUUGAAAUGGCAAGAAAAAGACGAAGAAAUUCUAUUCAAGGUGAGAUUUUAUAUAACUCUCUGGAACAACAAGAACAACAAAUGGGAAGUGCAUCAAUGCCCCAACCACCUCAAAAUUGGCCACAAAAUGAAAAAGAAGUGCAUCAUGAUAACAUCUCAAGAAAUGAUUCACAUAAUUUAGAAAAUCUUCCAGAUUUUAGUGAGAGCGGGGAGCAGUCUAAGCGAUCUAGGGGUCCCACUAUGAUGCACUCAAGAUGGGGAAAAGAUGGUGGCAUUUUACAUGUUGAGUUGAAUGAUCUUGGCCAACCUAUUGGGCCAGAAGGAUGUAGAUUGAGUUCAAAACUUGGCGUCUUAGCACAAAAUGGCAUUUUAGCUCC